rnacentral:lncRNA from 1 species
ACCAGACUGAAGACCAGCUUCCAAACACUUUUUGUUUUGUUUUCUCCUCAGUCUCAUCCACAGGACCAAGGAAAAUAGUGUUCUCCAUGCUUUGAAGCAUUAGGGAAUAGUAAGAUCUUUGCUACCACAAGAAUGUGAACUUGCACAUGGGAAAGUAACAGUAGGCAACACAACGUCACAUCCUGGACUGUCUUUGAGUCACUGUAUCAAUGACUGUCAAGCCAACUUUGCCAUCCCAGUCAACUUUAUUCUAAUUCAAUGAUUGGGUCCCCAGCAUUAAGAGUUUCAAACAGUGGUCAUAAAAAACAGUAACCUCUUUGUGGGAGUUGCCUGAUGUGCUUUUCCAUUUUGUGUUCUACCUUGUGUUCCUGCUUGGGUCUCACAGAGGUCCUCCUGUGAGGACUUUCCUUGCUGGGUGCAGAAGGAAAGAGCACUUCUUGGCAUAAGGAUGGUAAUCAAAGCAUCGUCUUGCUGGAAGAGAACCAUAUGUGAUCUUAAGUUCAUACGGUAGCUGAAGUCCCAAGCACAUACCUCAUACGUCCUCCUGAACAUGGAAGAAGUCUCUCUUGACCACCAAGACACAUCUUUACAUACCUGUCAUGCUGUCUCAUUAGAUGUGCUUGGUAUUUAUGGAGGUCAAAUCACCAACAGGACAGGAUGUUAUCUGCCAGUUACACAAAGCAACCAUCACACCUGUGCUAAUACUCUAAACACUUGAGCAAUAAAGAUCCUGUGUUAUUUUGCAAUAAAGCUUGUUUACUUUUUGCUACUGUUCAAGCCUACGAUGAAGAAAGUAUCUUCAAAAAAGUAACAGGUGAACUCCAGCUGUCUAGAUCACUAUGGCAACAUCCAUUUCUUCCAGCUGCACAAGCAGGUAAUAGGGCCAUCGUUUUCUAUUUUAAAACAAAUACAGAACAGGAACUUAGUUUUAUGUCAGCAAG